rnacentral:rRNA from 1 species
CCUACGGGUGGCAGCAGUGAGGAAUAUUGGUCAAUGGACGGAAGUCUGAACCAGCCAUGCCGCGUGCAGGAAGACGGCUCUAUGAGUUGUAAACUUCUUUUGUACAAGGGUAAACCUGAAUACGUGUAUUCAGCUGAAAGUACUGUACGAAUAAGGAUCGGCUAACUCCGUGCCAGCAGCCGCGGUAAUACGGAGGAUCCAAGCGUUAUCCGGAUUUAUUGGGUUUAAAGGGUGCGUAGGCGGAUUGUUAAGUUAGAGGUGAAAUGUCCGGGCUUAACUCGGGAAUUGCAUUUAAUACUGGUGAUCUAGAGAGUAGAUGAGGUAGGCGGAAUGCAUGGUGUAGCGGUGAAAUGCUUAGAGAUCAUAAAGAACACCGAUUGCGAAGGCAGCUUACUAAUCUAUAUCUGACGUUGAGGCACGAAAGCGUGGGGAGCAAACAGGAUUAGAUACCCUGGUAGUC